rnacentral:rRNA from 1 species
AUACGAACUGUGCAAACGUUAUUCGGAAUCACUGGGCUUAAAGGGUGCGUAGGCGGGUUUGAAGGUCUGAUGUGAAAGCCCACGGCUCAACCGUGGAAUUGCGUUGGAAACCACAAGCCUUGAGGGAGUCAGAGGUGAGCGGAACUAAUGGUGGAGCGGUGAAAUGCGUUGAUAUCAUUAGGAACACCGGUGGCGAAAGCGGCUCACUGGGACUCUUCUGACGCUGAGGCACGAAAGCUAGGGGAGCGAACGGGAUUAGAAACCCCAGUAGUCC